CCUCAUUGCAAACAAUAUUUUCAAAAGUUACACUAUCACAGUCCACUUUGAGUCUUUUCCCUCUCACAGAUGGAUCUGCAUGGAGCCAUUCAGGACAAGGAGAGAG